GACGAACGCUGGCGGCGUGCUUAACACAUGCAAGUCGAACGGAAAGGCCCUGCUUUUGUGGGGUGCUCGAGUGGCGAACGGGUGAGUAACACGUGAGUAACCUGCCCUUGACUUUGGGAUAACUUCAGGAAACUGGGGCUAAUACCGGAUAGGAGCUCCUGCUGCAUGGUGGGGGUUGGAAAGUUUCGGCGGUUGGGGAUGGACUCGCGGCUUAUCAGCUUGUUGGUGGGGUAGUGGCUUACCAAGGCUUUGACGGGUAGCCGGCCUGAGAGGGUGACCGGCCACAUUGGGACUGAGAUACGGCCCAGACUCCUACGGGAGGCAGCAGUGGGGAAUAUUGCACAAUGGGCGGAAGCCUGAUGCAGCAACGCCGCGUGCGGGAUGACGGCCUGCGGGUUGUAAACCGCUUUCGCCUGUGACGAAGCGUGAGUGACGGUAAUGGGUAAAGAAGCACGGGCUAACUACGUG
rnacentral:rRNA from 1 species